AAAAGGGUUGACAGUACUAAAAAAUAGAGAAUUCCGAGCGAAACUUUCCGACCGAAAAUUAUAGUCGGAAAUUUCCAACGGUUUCGGUCGGAAAAGCAAAAAAAAAUAAUUGUUCAAUUUUUUUAUUAUAAUAUUUCGACCAUAUUCCGACAAUGUUAGUCACAAAGUUUUGGCGCAAAAAAUCGGAAAAGUUGUUUGCGACCGAUUGAGUCGGUGCUUGAAAGUCAAACCAGUUUUAACUUUUCGACUGAAACGAUAGGAAAUUAAUAAAAUAUAUAUAUUUAUUUUUUUAGUUUUUCCAAACGAUUUGGUCGGAAACCAUUUUAAAAUAUCCUGUCAGUAUAUAACCGACCAAAUCGAUCGGAAAAAUAGCGAAAUUUUGAAUUUUAAUUUUUUUACCGACCGAUCCGUCGGAAAUGCUAUUUAUAACCCUGCCCUGACCCCUAUAUUCUUUUUUCUUUCUCUUCUAUUACACUAUUUGGUCACCUCGCCAAUCGUCGUCGCCCACCUUUACUCAAAUUUCUGACGGUAUACCACUCUCUAUCUCACUUUCUCCCUCCCUCCCUCUCUCACUCAUCCCUUUCGCGGCCAGAUUCUUUAACCCUUUUUCAAUUAAUUUUUUUCUUUUUCAGGCAGUGGAGUAAUUCGGCGGUGUGCAUCUUCUCCGGCGAGGUAAGUUCUUCCUUCAUUCCUUCUCCAGCCUUGAAUGUUACUAUAUUUUUUCUUUUUGUUUGUAUUGUAAUUAAAAUUAGUAUUUUUUUUUAGUUUGAAUAUUGAUAAGAUUAGAAUUGAAAUUAGGGUUGAAAUGAAAGAAUAAGUUAUUCUUUAACCUUGAAUAACUAUGGUUCAGAGCCUUGAGUAACAUGAAAAUUAAGCUUCCUUUGGAUAAAAAAAUUAGAAGUGAAUGAAAUUUGAGAUAGAUUUUUUUUCAAUAGGAGAAAUCUUCAAUUUGUAUUGUAAUUUAUAUAUAUUCUGGAAUUAGAAAUAAAACUAUUCAAUCUUGACUUUAUUUUCACAUUGUAAUUUACAUAUGUUAUUAAAUUAGGAAUAAAUGUUGUUUGAAUUUUGUGUCUUGUGCUUUGAUUUUCUAUUUAAGUUGGGAUAGGAAACAAAGGAAAGAUUUGUGUGCAAGCUUAAAUACUUAACUUUUAAUCAAAAAAAGUAUAACUAUAGUUUAUAUUUUGCAACUAUCGUCCGAAGAUAUGACUUUAAUAUGGAGACAGGCAGCCGGUGGAGUAAAUAAAGGUAUAUCUUUUUUAGUAAUAUUAUUUUGCACAAGUUGUAUGUUUCUUCUCUUGCUCAUUUUACUUUUUUUUGAUUCUCAUGAAAAUAAAUAAAGAUAGAGUCAAACUUGAAGUACAACCAUUGUCCAGUUGUCCAACUGCAUUACUCAGUGGUGCUUCUGCUUCACCUGAAGAAAUUGAGACUAUGCAGACAUAAAUCAAUGAAUUAACACAACAAUGAAACAUUACUCAAGAAAUAAUAAGUAUGAUGCGUAUAUUCAUGGAAAAGCAUGGCAACCAACGUACAAUGGAGGAAUCUAACAAUGGGGAGAUUGAAAUCGACGAGGAGUAGUAAUUUGGAAUGAUCAUGAUAUUUAGACAUGACUACUUUUGACUUGGUUGGUUUUAGACUUGGAUUAUGUGUUUUAGACUUGAAUAUCAUUUGGUUGAAACUUUUAGACUUUAAUAUGUCUUAAUAAAUGCGUUUUACACUUGUUUGAAGGUGUUGUAAUAUUUACUAGUUUAAUAUUUGAUAUUUUAGGUUCAAUUGAUUGAGCAAUUUUGAUAUAUAUUAGGUUGAAUGAUUGAUUUUGAAUUGGCAGGUGGUGUAGCUUAAAAUACAGCAGAAUUCUAGUGAAAUUUAUCAGAAAUUUGCUUCCGAUUUUCGACCACUGUAGUCGAAAUUUAUAACUGACAAUUCCUAGAUUUUCUACUGAGGUGAUUGGAAAUAUUAAUUAUUUAUUAAAUUAAUUUUAAUAUUUUCGGCUGAUUUGGUCGGAAAUGACGAAUAUAAUUUUAAUUAAUACUAAAUAUACCGACCAAAUCGGUUGGAACUCGUUACGUGUUAUUAAUAUUUAUUUUUAAAUAAGCGAACGACUAGGUCGCAAAUUUACCAACCAAAUCGGUCGCAAAUUUACCGACCAAAUUGAUCGCAUGUUUUGAAUUUAUCUAGUCACCCUGAUUUUUCCUCUUUGCGACCAAAACGGUCGAAAAUUUCCGACCAUUUCGAUCGAAAAUAUUUUACAACCAUCUGUUUUUCGACCACUUCUACGAUGACCCAGCCGGUCGUUUUGAGUAUUGUAGCCCCCAUUCCUCAAUUUAUUGCCUCUUUUUUGUUCAUUUGUGGUUAUGUGACUUGUCGAGAUAGUUGGUCUGGUUUUCGGGUGAGUUUCGGCGUGAAUUGGGACACUUAGUCCCAAAGUUGAUAACUUAAGUUAGAAGAGUUGACCGGAGUUUGACUUUUGUGUAGACGACUCCAAAAUGGAGUUUUGAUGAUUUCGAUAGCUUCGUAUGGUGAUUAUGGACUUAGGCAUAUGUUCGGAUGUUGAUUUGGAGGUCUGUGGGUUGAUUUUGUACUUUUUGGUGAAAGUUGGAAAGUUAAUAGGUUUGAUCUAGGGUUGACUUUAUUGAUAUCGGGUUCAGAUUGUGGUUUCGAGAGUUGGCAUAGGUCUGUUGUGUCAUUUAGGACUUGCAUGCAAAAUUUGAGCUCAGUCGGAGUUAAUUUGAUGUGAUUCGGCGUUAGUUUUAGAAGUUAAAUGAUCAUUAGUUUAUUAGGCUUGAAUUAAGGUAUGAUUCGUAGAUUUGAUGUUGUUUGGUGUGAUUUAGGGUCUCGAGUAGGUUCGUGUUAUAUUUUUGGACUUGAUGGUAUGUUCGAAAGGGGUCUCGGGGAACUCGGGUAUGUUUCGGAUUGAGUUCGGACCAAAUUGGAGGCUUAGGACAUUGCUGAAGCCUGUUGAGUGCUAGUGCAAUCGCACCUGCGAUAGUUGGGCCGCAGAUAUAUGUUAGGGCCUGGGGGUUGGGUCCGCAGGUGGGGAGAUGUGCGCGUAGGUAUGCAACCGUAGAAGCGGAUUUCUUCGCAGAAGCGAGUAUUGGACUGUUGGCAAGGGACCGCAGGUGCGGUCAUGUUCCGCAAAAGCGGACGCGCAGAUGCGCAUACGGGUUCGCAGAAGCAGAAUUCCUGGGCUUAAUGAGAUACCGCAUUGCAAUGUUUUUCUGUAGAUGCGGAGCCGCAGAAGUAACUAAUGGACCACAGAUGCGGAAAUCGCUGGGCAGGAAUAGGUUAGAUCAAGGGUUUUAUUUUAUUUCUCACUUUUUGAGUUAGAGAGCUCGAUUUUGAGAGAUUUUAGAAGGGAUUUUCAAGGAUUGGAUCGGGGUAAGUAUUUUUUACUCGGAUUUGUUCAUUAUUCGUGAAUCCAUCAUCGUUUUUAUUAUUUAAUCAGUGAAUUAAAUUGGAGAAAUUGAGGAUUUUUGUAAAACAUUUCCUAAACCAUAAAUUGAAGAUUUGAAGGUUGAUUUGAGGUCAAAAUUGGAUAAUUUUGGUGUGGAUGGACACGUAUCGGAAUGGUGUUUGGGAUUUGUAAGUUUGGCCGGAUUCCGAGGUGCGGGCUCGGGAUUGACUUUUUGAAUUGACGUUUUGAUUUCCAUUAAAGAUUGAAACCUUAUUACUUGAAAUUGCUUGCUAUAGCUUGUAUUUAUGGUAUUAUAUUAUUUUGGCUAGAUUCGAGCUGUCUGGAGUUGGAUUUGCGCGGAAAGGGCUUAUUAGUGGAUUGAUUUAGCUUAUUGGAGGUAAGUAUCUUACCUAACUUUGUGUGGGGGAAACUACCCCUUAGGAUUUGGGUUGAUUGUGUUAUUUGUAUAAUGUGAAAGACGUGUACACGAGGUAACGAGUGUGUACGCGAGGUAACGAAUGUGUACACGGAUUUAUAUGUCGUAUUUUGAGAGGUUUAAACUUUUAGACUUAUUCCAUGCAUUUAAUUGAAAUUUGUCUUAACAUGUUAUAUCUUCCAUUGUUCAAUUUUCUCUCACAUGCUCUAUUUGAUAUUGUUAGCAUAUGUCCUAUCCUUUAUUGUCAAGUUUGUUCUUGUACGCUUUAGUUGAAGUUGUUAUCUCUCUUAUUGUCUUGUUACCUCUUUUAUUGUUAAAUUAUUCUUAUUUCGAGUUGUUGAUUGUUAUAAUAUCCUUCCUUAUUGGGUAUUCCUCUUUUAUUUUGUUUUAUUUAGAUUCUUGUUCACAUUGUUGGUUGGCCCGUGGGCUAUAUGUUGUGGUAAUAUUUGGUAUUAUUGAGUUUUGGCAAGUGUUGUGGCAUAUGGGUACAUGUGGUACGAGUUUAUUAUUGUGUUGUGAUAUUAAUACGCAUGCGGUGGUAUAAGGAUAGGGGUUGAUACGCAUGCAGUGAUAUAAGGUGGGAUUAAUAUGUGCGUUGCUAGUAAGGAAAUUACUUGAAGCCACGCGGUGAGAUAAGGGGCUAAAACGCGUGUAGCUAUUUCGGGAGAAACGUUUUCAAAAUAAAUACAAGGCUCACGCGGUGAUAUAAUGAGAAUUUUGAUUGUGACUUGUGAAAUGAGAUUUGUGAGGUGUGGUACCUCAGUUGUGAUUCUUGUUGUACAUUAUAUGUUAAAAAGGCUUAUUGGUUGAAUAGUUCUUCUUCAUAUUUGAUUUUUCGUUGCUCUCAUUAUGUGUUCACUUCUUGUUGUCUUUACCACCUUAGAUUUUGUUGUUAGCUUACAUUAUUGUACUGCUUUAUUGUCAUUUAUUUCCCCGCUUUCCAUUAUUAGACUAUACUAUAUUCUAUUCAGUUUUCUUAUCCUAGUAGGUGUCUUGACCUGGCCUAGUUACUACUCUACCGAGGUAGGCUUGAUACUUACUGGGUACCAUUAUGGUGUACUCAUGCUAUGCUUCUACACAUUUUUGUACAGAUCCAGGUACAUCAGUUCGUGCUGAACACCAGUGAUCUUAAAGUUGUUUUCCGGAGACUUCAAGGUAUACCUGCCUGAUGCUCGCACGCCUCGAAGUCACCUUCUGUUAUUCCCUUUACUGUUGUUAUUCCUAUUUUCAGACAGUGUUGUAUUAG
rnacentral:lncRNA from 1 species